rnacentral:ncRNA from 1 species
AUCUUUGCGACUGGUUAAGGUUGAACAUCAGUUCAAUAAUAGGGAAUCAGGUAAAAGAAUAAUAAUCCUGAGCUGUACCCGCAACUGUAAGCUAUUUCACUUGUAGUAAAAAAUGCCACUGGAUACUGAUCCGGGAAGGUGUACUGUAAGAUGCAAGCCAGGAGACCUGCCUUAGAUGCUGUUUAAUU